UACGGAGGAUGCAAGCGUUAUCCGGAAUGAUUGGGCGUAAAGCGUCCGCAGGUGGCAAUGUAAGUCUGCUGUUAAAGAGUCUAGCUCAACUAGAUAAAAGCAGUGGAAACUACAUAGCUAGAGUACGUUCGGGGCAGAGGGAAUUCCUGGUGUAGCGGUGAAAUGCGUAGAGAUCAGGAAGAACACCGGUGGCGAAGGCGCUCUGCUAGGCCGUAACUGACGCUGAGGGACGAAAGCUAGGGGAGCGAACGGG
rnacentral:rRNA from 1 species